AAGCGGCGGGGUGGCCUCGCACCGGCACAUCGGGCGGCUGGUGGUGCCGCCAGAGGCAGCCUUUGACGCAACCCUGAUAUUCGAGACACCGGUCAGGAUUUGACGGGCCGGACUUGAUCCGGCACUCCCUCAUCGGCAUGGUCAGGCCAGUUUCAGAAAAGGAUAUCCUUUGAACGCCAAGAUUUCCGCGGCUCCGGUGGUUUCCGCAGGCAACGUCAAGUUC
rnacentral:misc_RNA from 1 species